rnacentral:ncRNA from 1 species
AAAGGUUCGCUUUUACGCGAUUAAUAAGGGAAUGAGGUGUAAGUCCUCUACUGUCCCGCAGCUGUUAGCUUCAUUAUGCCCGCAAGCAAAUAACCACUGUUGAUUGACAAAUAGCAAUAUUUGUCCUUUUAAACGGGAAGGUGCCUUGCGGCGAAGCAAAGUCAGAAGACCUGCCUUUACGU